rnacentral:rRNA from 1 species
UACGUAAGGGGCAAGCGUUGUCCGGAAUCACUGGGCGUAAAGCGCGCGUAGGCGGUUUGGUAAGUCGGGUGUGAAAGCCCCAGGCUCAACCUGGGAACGGCGCCCGAAACUGCCUCACUGGAGGGACGGAGAGGUGCACGGAAUUCCCGGUGUAGGGGUGAAAUCCAUAGAUAUCGGGAGGAACACCAAUGGCGAAGGCAGUGCACUGGACGUCACCUGACGCUGAGGUGCGAAAGCGUGGGGAGCGAACGGG